rnacentral:sRNA from 1 species
UGUGGCAGUGACGGCCAUGGAAUUCUGAUUGGACAAAUUGGAGGCUGGAAUGGAAGUGCUUUCCCUUGGUUCAGCCCACUAGAGAUGGAAACGAUGCAAUUCCAUAUGGUUGCAAGGGAAGUGAUCGUAGCAGUUACAGGAGAGAGCGGAAUAGAACUACUGAACUAGGAGGGGCUGAUAUGCAGUCAGGUUUAUCCUGUGGCAGCCAUGUCACCUAACACAAGGAUUCACUCUCUUGACAAAAUCUCCGCUGAAAUUUGGUUGAGAAUUGCUGAUCUUGGCUGACGUCUGGUAGGAAAAUAAAAAAGAAUACCUGAUUUUCUUUUCAAAAUUUCUGCUUCUUCACAUUAUCACACUGGUUUAACUCUAUCUAGAAGGGGAAAUUGGAGUCUAGAACAGCUUCAAGAAGGUGAAAUUGGUGUCAUUAGUUUUCUUUUUCUAAUAAACAUUCAAGAAGGGGAAAAUCGCCGGUUACCGCUUUUCAUAGCCUCUACUUGAAAUUAUUGUAAACAGGGAGUGUUGACCCUGCUUAGAACUAUUUAUUAGAUCACCAAUUUUAUGUGAUUUGC